CAAGACGCCCACGAGUGGAAAAUGCACUCCCCUCAGCCAAAUCAAACUUCGCCAGAUUCCUAACAGCUGUGUGCAUUGAAAUGACUAAUGAAAGAGCCCUCUGCUGCCUGUGGAACUUUCACACAGGGCAUUGUCACUGCCGCUCACCAGGACCCAGCCCUGAGUAUUUACAUAUUGGAUGUCACCCCAAAAGCCCCCGACCAGGGGAUUUCCGGGAUGUAAUAAGUAGGUGGGAUACAUCCGUGAAUAAAACAAAGAUCCUUGUAUAGGAGGAGGUCAUUGAGGGGACAUCACUGCCAGCUGAUCCAAGAGCAAGACCUGGGCAACUGAAGGCUCCUUACUCCUGCCCUGUCCUUGGAAUGAAUGUUCCACCCACACCACCUCAGAGCUGAAGCCAUUUCAAAGAUGCAGCCUUAAAAACCAUUUUAUGUGUGAAUGUGCUCAUCUUAAAGUUGAUGAUGAAACCUGAAACAGAAGUGAAGUUGCCUACGACUGACCAUUCCAAGAGGCAAUUAAUGAGUUACUGUUCUCAGACUCAGUGAUGAUGCUUCCGGAGAACCAGUUGGAGAGUUUUUCACAUGUUCCCUGACAUUGGAGGGAUAUAAGGACUGGCAUCUGACUCACAACUAUGAAGUCUAAAGGGUCCGGCACCAGAGGCCAGAGAAUGCUACGUUGAGGAAGGAGAUCUGGGCUUAGUGGACCACAGGAACCACGAGGCUACGGCAAACACCAGGGCAGCAGUGGCGGCCAGGAGGCCAGGGAGCAACCACCUGAGAAGCCAGGUCAUGUGGAGGCUGCUGCUGAGGCCCCAAGGAAACCAGCUUCUCUUCUAU